rnacentral:tRNA from 1 species
GAUCCCGUAGCUCAACGGAUAGAGCAAUAGCCUUCUAAGCUGGAGGUUGAUGGUUCGAAUCCAUCCGGGAUCGCCA